rnacentral:rRNA from 1 species
UCUACGGGUGGCAGCAGUGGGGAAUAUUGGGCAAUGGGCGCAAGCCUGACCCAGCAACGCCGCGUGAAGGAAGAAGGCUUUCUGGUUGUAAACUUCUUUUCUCAGGGACGAAGCAAGUGACGGUACCUGAGGACUAAGCCACGGCUAACUACGUGCCCGCAGCCGCGGUAAUACGUAGGUGGCAAGCGUUAUCCGGAUUUACUGGGUGUAAAGGGCGUGUAGGCGGGACUGCAAGUCAGAUGUGAAAACCACGGGCUCAACCUGUGGCCUGCAUUUGAACCUGUAGUUCUUGAGUACGGGAGAGGCAGAAGGAAGUCCUAGGGUAGCGGUGAAAUGCGUAGAUAUUAGGAGGAACACCAGUGGCGAAGGCGGGCUGCUGGACAGCAACUGACGCUGAGGCGCGAAAGCGUGGGGAGCAAACAGGAUUAGAUACCCGUGUAGUC